UACAGAGGUCUCAAGCGUUGUUCGGAUUCAUUGGGCGUAAAGGGUGCGUAGGCGGCGCGGUAAGUCGGAUGUGAAAUCUCGGAGCUUAACUUCGAAACUGCAUUCGAUACUGCCGUGCUUGAGGACUGGAGAGGAGACUGGAAUUUACGGUGUAGCGGUGAAAUGCGUAGAUAUCGUAAGGAAGACCAGUGGCGAAGGCGGGUCUCUGGACAGUUCCUGACGCUGAGGCACGAAGGUCAGGGGGAGCAAAACGGGG
rnacentral:rRNA from 1 species